AGCAAUCAAUGGCUCGGUGGCAGUGUCUUGCCUGACACCGGGUAGUUGAUUUGCUUU
rnacentral:pre_miRNA from 1 species